rnacentral:rRNA from 1 species
AUUGAACGCUGGCGGCAGGCCUAACACAUGCAAGUCGAGCGGACGAAGGGAGCUUGCUCCUGGAUUCAGCGGCGGACGGGUGAGUAAUGCCUAGGAAUCUGCCUGGUAGUGGGGGAUAACGUCCGGAAACGGGCGCUAAUACCGCAUACGUCCUGAGGGAGAAAGUGGGGGAUCUUCGGACCUCACGCUAUCAGAUGAGCCUAGGUCGGAUUAGCUAGUUGGUGGGGUAAAGACCUACCAAGGCGACGAUCCGUAACUGGUCUGAGAGGAUGAUCAGUCACACUGGAACUGAGACACGGUCCAGACUCCUACGGGAGGCAGCAGUGGGGAAUAUUGGACAAUGGGCGAAAGCCUGAUCCAGCCAUGCCGCGUGUGUGAAGAAGGUCUUCGGAUUGUAAAGCACUUUAAGUUGGGAGGAAGGGCAGUAAGUUAAUACCUUGCUGUUUUGACGUUACCAACAGAAUAAGCACCGGCUAACUUCGUG